rnacentral:misc_RNA from 1 species
GAUGAAGAACGCAGUGAAAUGCGAUACGUAAUGUGAAUUGCAGAAUUCAGUGAAUCAUCGAGUCUUUGAACGCAUAUUGCGCCCCCUGGUAUUCCGGGGGGCAUGCCUGUCCGAGCGUCAUUGCUGCCCUCAAGCACGGCUUGUGUGUUGGGCCUCCGUCCUCCUCCCGGGGGACGGGCCCGAAAGGCAGCGGCGGCACCGCGUCCGGUCCUCGAGCGUAUGGGGCUUCGUCACCCGCUCUUGUAGGCCCGGCCGGCGCUUGCCGACACAUCAAUCUUUUUUCCAGGUUGACCUCGAAUCAGGUAGGGAUACCCGCUGAACUUAAGCAUAUCAAUAAGCGGAGGA